rnacentral:rRNA from 1 species
UGGGGAAUAUUGCACAAUGGAGGGAACUCUGAUGCAGCGACGCCGCGUGAACGAAGAAGGCUUUCGAGUCGUAAAGUUCUUUUAUAUGGGAAGAUAAUGACGGUACCAUAAGAAAAAGCCCCGGCUAACUACGUGCCAGCAGCCGCGGUAAUACGUAGGGGGCUAGCGUUGUCCGGAAUCACUGGGCGUAAAGGGUUCGCAGGCGGAAAUGCAAGUCAGGUGUAAAAGGCAGUAGCUUAACUACUGUAAGCAUUUGAAACUGCAUAUCUUGAGAAGAGUAGAGGUAAGUGGAAUUUUUAGUGUAGCUGUGAAAUGCGUAGAUAUUAAAAAGAAUACCGGUGGCGAAGGCGGCUUACUGGGCUCAUUCUGACGCUGAGGAACGAAAGCGUGGGUAGCAAACAGG